UAUUUUCUGUAAAAAGAAUAAAAUAUAUAUUAAAACAAUUAUUGUAAAUAUCGAAUAGAGUUAGUGGUAUUCGUGUGUAAAUAUAGUUGUUUCUCGAAUAGUAAUCAGCCUAAUUAUUCUUAAUUUAAAUAAAUGAUCAUCAAAGUUCUCACGCAAACAAAAAGAGGAAGACGAUGAUGAUGAUGAUGAUGAUGAUGAUGAUGAUGAUGAUGAUGAUCCGCUAAUACAGUAGCUUCGCCUAAGGACGCCUUUAAUGAAGUUCAUUUAAAUCGAACGGCAUUAAAAGCAGUAGCAUGCUCGUUUUGAAUGGAGCUAUUGAAUACAAAUCGGUGUUUACAUCGAAACGAAUUUGUGACGGCGCUAUUUUCUCGGUCAAAUUUUCACCUCGGGCUAAUUAGUUGUAACAGUUAUCCAAACCGUAGUAGGAAAUGAGUUUUAUCAUUGUGAAAAAUUGAAAAUUCUAUUCCAUUUCUCAAAAUAUAAACGUAUAUAUUUUAUCUUGGCAUAAAUGUUUUUUCUAGUAGAGAAAAUGAGUUUUGUACAAUAAAUAGUCGGCGCGUGAUUCGCCGCUAUCUUCAUUCGGACAUCCUGACGUCAAUGCAUUUCAAUAUUUUUCCAUGUACUGCUUUUAAUAGAGGAAACGCGAAUUUAAAAAAAAAAAAAAAAGAGACGCCACAAUAACCAUUAAUUUAACAACGUUUCAGUUGGCAGCGAUUUGGCGCACAGGCGCACACAGAGUUACUAUACAGGCGUAUAGACGAAUACGCGAAUACGUAAUCUCGGUAGGAAACGGAUUUUUUCCGCGCGGCGCGCGGACUGUCGAAGCGAUAGGGCGCAUGUAUGUAUGCACGUAUGCUCGCGAGUGCGACCGCAAUCUGUUAUCCGUAUCUGCUGCCAGAUGCCAAACGCUUCGCACCAGCAAGUUUACACGCGCGGUGCAGCUAAUUGCGGUAAUCUAGCUUAAUGUACUGGAGAGAAGUAGUUUCGGCUAGCCGACGGGGCGAUUGUUGCCAGAGAUGAAGCGUCAGCGCCACACCGAAUUUCCCAUUACGUGCCUAAUCCACGUAAGCGGAUGAGUAUAGCGAAUAUCGCGUACAGCGACUCGCGCACGUGAUAUGACGUAACGUAAAAGCGCAACGGGAAAAGAUUUUCAACGGGAGUUACGAAGCGGCAGCGACGAUAAAACGUCCGUCGCUGCCGCGCCGAGGACGAGAGACGACACACGAGUCCGCUCGCGCUUCGGCCAUGAAAGGGAACUUUGAGGGGAGAACCUGUUUUUGUGGCGUACGAGGGAAGUUAAUCCGUCCCGUUGUACGAAGACCCUGAGUCGACCGAGUCGACAGCCAGGCAGCAGCCACCACCCCCAAAGGGCCUGCGCCGCUGCGCUGGCCUGCGCGCGACAAGAUAAUACGAAUAAAACGCGAUUAUCCCCGUUGAACGAUGAGGAAACCGUCGCGAGCCAUUGGAUAUUCAAACGCAAUUUCUAUUGUCUCUCUGCGUUUACGCGUUUCGACCGUCGCCGCGCGCGUCGCGUCGUGAUUCUUGAGAAAGAAGCAUUUUACAAGCGACGACGUACCGUUAAUUCAGCAAUUUAACGAUAUAAUUAAUAACGUUAUAUAUCCCCAAAUGGGGCGCUAUUAAUUGCCACGGGAGACCAAAUUACGUCUCAUUAUUGCUACAUCUGCAAUUUGCGCGAGAGGCCAAGCAUGAUUAUUAACGCGUUGCAGUGUAAUUACUAAUAUAUUUCAGGUUACAAUAUUAAAGCCAACGCGAUUAAUCAUGGAGGGCAAACUAAUUAUUCGUUAUGUUACGAUGCAUAAUUGAUAUCGAAUCACUAUUGGAAAUCAAAUGUGCAUGUAACGUACGUUUAUGGUUAGCGCGAGAUCGAAAAUCGCACUUGACCCAACGUCAACUUUUCAUCCCGCUGCAAAUGUAUAUAAUAUCGUAGCUGCGAGACACAUCUUGAUUAGUAUCGAUAGUUUGGAACUGAAAUUUUAUCGAUCUUAUUCGCGUCGACUUGAAAUCGUCUCGCGAAACAUUUAAUAUCUGUGACAAUUUUUCACGGGGUUACCGGAUUAUUGUGUUUCUCGCCUAGAACGCUAUUCCUCUUUCGCAACCGGUUCCGAGAGAGGAGACCGCGCCGCACGCACACACACACACACACACACACACACACACACACACACACACACACACACACACACACGAUCCGUGCCUUUGACGAGCGCGACACGCGUGCAGCUGUGGAGACGUUCUCUAUUUCAGGAAAUACGAGAACGUACGUGCGCUAUAUUGUUUCGCGUUCCCUCCUUCUAUUUUCUUUUCUUUUCUUUUAUAAGCGACAUCUCUGCGACGAUCGCAACUUCGUAUUCUUCGCCCCCUUCGAACGCAACGUGAAAUCCGCGCGACUGCACGCGAGGUAGUAAAUUUUUAUUGAAGCAAUAUUUCGCAGUCGCUGCGCAAUUUGCGCCGCCAGGGAAUAUCAUAAAACUGGAGAUCUAUAAACUUGGCGAUAGUCAAAGGUAAUCUUUUCGCGUUAUGACGCGAGAGCGGAUCUUAAACCGAAGCGUUUAGCUAAACACGAUGAAAUCGGAGAUUAUGGUGUUUCAUUGUUCGAGUGCAGUUGUUUCUCACGUUUUAAGUGUACCGAGAAGAACAUAAUAAAAUUUCCGAAUCACGAGUUUCAGUUUGCCGAAUCGAUAUUAAUCGUUGUCGAAGAAGAAGUAACGAAUGCGAUAUGAGAAACGAGUCUAAAUAUUCGAACGAAAUAUAUCGCGCUAGGCGCGGGUCGUGAAUUGCCUUUUACCGGAUGGCAGCUGGCAAGGGCCAGAUGUUGGUCGUUAAUGGACUGUGCGGGUCUCAAAGUGGCACCAGACAUGAUUCCCUCUCUGUCCCCCCUCGACUGCCUAAAGUUCGUCUACGAGACAAAAGACCGACGGAUCUCUCGCCGGAAAUAAGAGAACGAGAAAAUCGUUUGGAUGAAAAAAAAAAAGAAAAAAAAAAACGCGCAGUAUCUCACUCGUGAUUCAUCGAUCGCCUAGCAGUCUUGGAGUAAUCUCAUCGCGAUUAUCGUUCGCGAUAGCGUUUCGAGCGCGAAAAUGUUAAUUAACUUCCUAGUAAAGUCACUGUUACGAAAGAAGCAAACGUUCGAUGGAACAUCAACGCACACCGUUGGUCAAUUUUUAAACAGAUAUUUACAUUGACGUAUUCUCUUUGAAGAUACAAACAAAGCGAUUAUCUCUUCUCCGCUUCUCCCUUUUCACGACAUUCUUUUGUGAAUGUCCUCUCGCACAAGAGAAGGACGUAGCUGUAAAGCUCUCGUUCUUCUUUCCAGCGAUUACGCGCGUGAAUGUGAAUAAAGAAUGACUAUACGUUUUAACUCGGCGACUAUAUAUAUGGCGCAAUAAUUCACAAUUCGCUACGCUACCUCCGCAUUUUACGUCUACGUUCACGUUCGCUUAUUCCAUCUUAAUUAUCAAUCGCGAAAUAUUAAUCUAAAGAGAGAAGGAACGCAGAGCACUUAAUCCGAUAUUCUAUCGAGUAUCCGAACCGUGGUCGGCCACAUGACGCGCGAUGUGGAAUCGAGAGAUAACAAAAUCGACAAAAUCCACAAAAUUCUACCAGCAAUAAUUCUCUCUCGCUAAACAAACCGCGCGAUUCCUAUUUAUUCAAGAACCGUAACAUCUUUACCGCCGCGCGCCGCAAUUUCGUUACACAAAAAAGAUUGGAAAAUCUACUAUACGCUUUUAGCGAAUGCGAUCCGGGAGGUGAGCAGCUGAUAUCGACACGAUGAAAGAUUGCGCAUGGUGCGCGGUUCGUGCCCCAGGUGUUCAACGAAGAUUAUUACAUAUUCUAGAGAUAAAAAAAAAAGAGCGCGGUAACGCGUUUAUGAGCUGUUGCAGGUUUCGGAGCUCAGCAACGGCCGCGCCGCUCGCUGACCAGCUUUUCCAGCUUAGUGGCUUAUAACUUGUUAAUUUAGGACAAAUCAAGCGUAAUUUUGCGAAGCGGCCAAAGCAGAGGAGAGGACGGAGCUUCAUCGAGGUGGAUGCAAUUUUUAUAACGAAAAGAUACGCGAGGCACCUGCAAAAAGCAUCGAAUGCUAUAUCGGAGGAUCGUUCGUCGGAACAGCGACAAACUAGCGCGGCUAGUUUCGCGAGCAACUUAUUCUUCUAACGACGUUUUAUUUUUAAUUUAUGUGAGAGUUCGUUGCAGUCGGUCAUAGUUACCUUCGAACAUACGCUCGAAUCGCGGCUAGUUCGUGGGCAAAGUGGACAUAAGUUUUAUCCGUCGUGUAGCAACGGAUAUACUUCAAUGUGUAACUUGUGUAACUUUGAGAUACGAGGCGAAAAAAAAAAAUAAAAAGAAAAAAAAUCGAUCGUAAUUUUUGGCUCUAUCGCGAAAGAAGGCUCGUCGACGGGCGGUUCUUUCCGCCGAUAUCCUUGUGCCGUGCCCAUAACUGGGCUGGUACCCACGACUAUACUAUUUACUCCCUACGUGCACGAAGUGCAUCGAUGCUUACACGCAUGCUGGCGAUCGAUGCGUGGAGCCUGGGGAGAGAGGUGGAGUGGCAGUGGCGUGGUGAUGAUGAUGGUGGUGGUGGUGGUGGUGGUGAUGGUGGUGGUGGUAGUGGUAGUGGUGAGGUCACGCCGGGUAGGCGAGGGGCGAAGGGACACAAAUAAAACGAGACUCGCGGAGACAGCUGGUCGUUCUGCCCUCGGGACAAACAACGAACCCACAUGACGCAAAUGCGCGCACACACACGCACGUACGUCCGCGCGAUGUGUUUCACGCAUAACUGCAGGCACGCAUACUGAUGGGCCGGCUCUCCGGACUCCGGACGACCGUACACAUCGGUGUAUCGAUACGGAACCGGCUUGCGCGAUUUUCCGAGCGCAGAGCGCCAAACGCCGCUCGGAACACCACGACGCGGGCCACAUGGGCUGCAGGUCGAAAGCUUGCAAGGCGAGAAAAACAUGCGAAACGAGGCCGGUUGGCGCAGGAUGAAGCACGCUUAUUAGUAGAACGAGGCCAGAUCAACGAGGCCGAAGGAACUUCUUUAUCGCUCUUCCUUCAAAAAUACAUCGCGUCGUAUCGUUAAAACACUUGAUGCACUUGGUUUGUUUUAUUAAAUCGCGUGUCGUCGACUUCAACCCUGCAAAAUCCCGGAUAAGUUAUACGAUUCCCAUCGGUCAGAAAAAGUAACAAGUUCCAUACCUCCACUAAAAUAACAAUUACCCAUGAAAGUUUUUCUUUUUAAUUUUUAAUUCAUUCUGAUAGCAUUUGUCAUCACUUCUUUAUACUGUAUUAUAUAUUUCCGGCAGGUUUAUAGCAAAUGAUAACACAUCGAAUCAAGGAUGGGCAGCAGAGUUCCGCCCGCAUAAAACAUCAUGGUCAAUUCGUCAUAAAUUCUCAUUGGUAAAAUGUUCUGGCAGUGAUCCAUAACUCUCGCGAGAACACUUUUUAAACCUGUCGAGAACUCUAGAAAUUUUUAGAAAAAAAUCAGUUCUAUCAAUUAUAUAUUGAAUUUUCAAAAAACAAGAUGUUAAAUUCGUCAUAAGUGUGAUAUUUAUAUACAUAUGGUAUACAAAAUGUUCCUUUAAAAAACAUUUCAUUAAAACAGACAGAGAAUUCCAACAAUCGCUUGACGCGCGCAAAAGAAAAAUAAACAGAACUUUCCUUUUAAGAUUCGAUCAGUAUUAUAUUUUACAGUAUCUUUGGCAAAUUAAUUGCAGAUGAUUAAUUAAGAUGAUACCACAGCAGCGAUCAAACGGGAAUGUUUACAAAAAUAUAAGAGAGAAACAAUAUCCGCUCGACGAUAAGUGAUAAGUUUGCGUACAAACAAAAGAGCAGACUACGACAAGUGUUCGAUAUUAACGAUCGAGUCGUCGACCCAAAGUCGCAGCUAUUAUAGCUUUUCUCGAAAGGAGCUCGAUUGGCGCGAUAGAGUAGACGAGAUUGUUAAUUUCGGUAUUGGCAGGGUAUCAAUGAGGUCAGAUAUCGCGAUGCGGUCUAAACUGCAACGCGAAUGCAUCCAUGCCACGACUCGAUCGCCAUCAUCACGGUCUCGAUUAAUCGCGUCUGGUACGUACAGCUUCAUAUCAGUCGCAGCGUUGCCACGUUAUUGCGCCCGGUAAUUCAACAGAUGCUCAACCGAAGCGUCUGCCAAGGGCAGAAACGAUCGCGACCGUCGAACGAAUACGUGGCAAUUUGUUUCGGGGAGCGCAAUUUCGACAUCGCGGCGGAGAGAAUUCUCGGUUUUCGCUCUUCUGCACCGCUGAUACAACUUGCAAUUUCUGAAGUGGUCGAUUCCACACAGAGCGCGCGCGGACAACUGUGCGAACAACACGGACGUGGGCGAACGAACUCUUUAGAGGCAGACGGCGUAACGUGCGCGCGCGGCGACAGCCUCGCAUAAAUAAUCUAAUGGUUUCUUUGUUACCGCUGAGUAUAUUUAUUUCGAAUCACGUCGCGAGCCGUAAAUACGAUACGAACUUUCGCAACCCUGGAGAGCUCUCAAUGAAGGAACGCAACGUGCGUGUAUGUCUAUCAUCGCCCGCGACCCGCGACCCGCGACCUGCGACCCUUCCUCCGUGACUCUCUUCCCCUGCUUUUUUCUCUUCACUUAUCGAGCAUCUCGCGCGCGCGCGCGCGCGCGCGACGCUUUCUCACGCUGUUUCGUCACGGACGGCCGAUCCCCGUUUAGCACGUUCGCCAAUAAAUCUUGAUACGUAAAGUAUCUCGCAAUACAGUGUUACAGUUUGCACGGCGGACAUCGCGUACGACGUUAAAUCGAGUUCCAAUGCACCACUUGAGCUCGUUUAAAUUCAUCACGGGCGCGCAGAUCAAGCGAAAUUCUCGCAAACAGUCGUGUCACAUUUCGCAGAUAACGAAACGUCGGCAAGUAAUUAUCACCAUUGACUGCCAUGAACCUUCUGUGACCAUUAAAUUAACGUCAAUUAAAAUGAUAAUCAAAAAGAUCAGUAUACGCAAACAUUGUUUGUCGCGAAAUUUUAUCGCUGAUCACUGCACGAGCGACUGCAUAUCUGUUUAAAAAAUAUUAUGCUCAGUGAAAAUUCGAAUGACUGUUUCGAAGAAACUUACACUGUUAAAUUAAAGAAUCAAAUUUAAAUCAAUUCUUGAGUUCAAUGACAUUUUGUCAUUUUUAACAAAACCUGUAGCUAAAAGAAUAAUCUCUAUUCAACUCAUUUUUUUUUCUAGUCUAAAGUAAACAGCCUCUAUAUUAACGAUAUGUACCUAGUAAAUAAUAAACCAUAUUUGAAUAAAAUUUAACAUUUAUUGCGUUAAAUUCCGUUCAACUCCAUUAUUUGAGUCAAAUUAACGACAUUUUGAGGAGCAACGGCAAUCUACAGAAAUGAUAAAAAAUAAUUCAAACUGAAUAUAAUUUGAUAUUACGAGUUUAACGUAGCAGCAAUUAUUUUCGCAACGUAAAUAUACCGACGACCACAGUUGCGACGAUAUCUUUCGGACUACAUUGGAAAGCCUAUAAUAUCGGUCGUAACUUUGCCUAACUGCACCUAAACUCUGAAUCGACGGGCAUGAAUAGCGCGACGCCAUUAAACUUCAGGUAGUAAUAACAUCUGAAUGCAGUCGUCAUUGCGAUAUGCAAUCGAAUUUAGUGUCAACGUUCCUCGCACGCGAAGAAACGAGACGCACGAAGCGAAUAGAGAAACGACGCGAAUUACGCGGAUUGAAUGAAGAGCGAUACCGAAUGUGAAAAUUUUCGCUAGUUUGCGUCAUUAUAUAAUGAAUAGACCGUGAUAAAGGAUGAAUGGAAUUUACAAUAAAAGAAUCACUGAUUCACAUCUAUCACCGUAUCUGUAAACUGCCGAUUAUAGAAGGAGUCCUAUAUUCGUCCGUUAAUUCUGCAAUUUUGCCAAUCCGGUGUUUUAUGCGUCGAUUGAACUUUGACGUUGCGCAAUCUCAUUUACUUGUGUCGCGAAAUUAUCGCGGAAAUGUGAUUGAAAGACUAUUUUCACGUAAUGCGAGACGAGAUAUACAAGAGCAGACUACACAAUUAUGAAUUCGCAAUCACUUUUAGAUGUAUCGUUGCACGUUUCGACUUGAAAAAUGACACGUCGAUAAAUUAUGCCAACAUCGAUCGGCCAUACGACUCGUGAAAUCCUUUUGUACGAGGAUCAAUAAUCUCCACGUACAGACAAUAAUCGUGAAAUUUAUCCCUCCCUCCCUCCGUCGUAUGCAAAGGCAAUCUAUUCCUUUACUAGAGCGGACACGGUAUCGUUAAUCGAGCACUUUUUUUUUUUAACAACGGUUGUAUGCACCAUUAAACUAUUGUAAGCACGAAAUCGUAUCGACAUCAACGAUAGCUCAUGAUUAAAUAGAAACUCGAUAUUAUUAGGCCCAAAUGGGGCAUUCUAUGAUCGAUAAGUAACUCGCUUUUACGUAACGCGGACACACGCGAUCAACGUUGUAACAUAAACGGUCCAAAUACAAUACAAGCAUCACUAUACAGACCUUAAUCUAUUUUUAUGGACGACGCUAUUAUAACAACGCUAUUCGACACAUAGCAAUAGUAAAAUGUUACACUCGGACCUUUUCAGCGGACGUAAAUAUUAGUCAGUCGAAGCAAAAUACGGCGAUCCGCUAUAGAUUAAUCAUCAGAUUCACGAGGGAAAAAUCGGAGAGGAAAGUGAUGACAAGUACUCGUAGUACUUAACGACGGAAAUGAGUUUCCGUUCGUUCGCAGCUGUUGAAUAAAUUGAUUCUCGGUUAGUGCCUUAAGCGGCGUGCAAAAUCGCAAAGUAAAUCUGCGCGAACAAGUUUUCAAACAAAGAUUGCAAAGCGAUCAAAGUUAUAAUGAUUUGUAAAAAGAAAAGAAAAAAUAAUUUCUCUCAACGCGCGAUGAAUGCUGGCACGUUAAAUAAAGAAUGUGCCUCUCGCUGCACACAGCUUUACAUGGCUUCACGCGUCUUUACAACAAACCCGCCGUGCUUCGCCAGCGAGUCGUUACGUGUCACGACGACAGCCGGAGGCGUAACGGAGGGACGGUAGCGUUAUUUCCGCGAAGUCGGCUUCUCCUCAACGAGGAAAAGCGGAGCAGAAGAAGCGCGCAGGUAAGAAGGAGAGGAGGCUUCGCGCUCCGCGAAGCCGACAGAUCGCCUACACGAUCGUGAUCAAACCGGUUCUCUCCCUCUCCGCCUGCAGAGGGAAGCUCUCCUCCAUCCAUCGUCGCGGCUUCGCGUCGACGAUUAUCGAUUAGCACUCGUAAUAUUCAUCGAAACUCGUGCGAACGGAGAGCAAACAUUUUGUGCGUUUCAUCGAUAAAGAAAGGAAAGCGAAACACACAUGGUUCACCCCCCAUAGUGGCAUUGCGCUUAUGGUAUUCGGGGAGUAUCGUGUCCAUGGUGAUUGCCUCUCGUAGUUCCCCUUCCGAAAGAGAACAUUGUUAGGGCCCUUUCGGAUUAUAAGCUCGAUCCCGCGAUGAACGAGACGCAUCGACGCACGUUCACGGUUGCCUUGGCCAUUGUUCUCUGAACGUACUGGUGUCUUUUAGAAUAAAAUUCAGACAACACAAAUGAAACAUUUUUCACUCUCUCUCAUCGUUCUCCGCUUUCUCUUUCCGGAAGUUGUAUUCAAUCGGUAAGAGCUGCUAGAGAUUGGUAUUUAAUAUUUCUACAUUGAUUAAACAAAGCACCGAUGCUGAAAUUGGACAAUUCCCUCUUCAUGGAUUAAGACGGCUGCUCGGCUGUGCGCCCGCGUGGCGUGGGAAGGCCCGGGAAAAUUGCGUGUUGCGAUAGAGCGAGGAAAGAGAGGGUCGGGGGCUAGAAACAGAAGGGAACGAGAGAACUAGUCGUUGGACGCUCCGUUGAAGCGCGGAGUAGAGAGCCGGCCUGGACGAACCGAGUCUGGAAUCGAGGGUCUUUCACGAUGAGAGAGCGCGCCAUAACGACCGGGGCGGCGGCGGCGGCGGCGGCGGCGGCGGCGGUGGCGGCAGCAGCAGCAGCAGAAGGACAAAGGGCUGAAGGGGUAAAGGGGGAUGGCGAGGGGGAGGAGCGCCCGAGGGGUUGAGGCCCGUUACGCGCGAUGUAAUAGCCUCGCGAAAUCUCAUUUCGGAAAAACAUUUGUGAGGUCGGGACGGUUAAAAAAUUGCACGAGUCAGAGAACGUGAGGUAAAUGAGAUAUCCCGGGAUAAGCAAACGCGACGGCAGGCGGGUUUGUAAUCCUCUUGCUGCGGAGAGAAAGAACGACACUCGCGGCGCGCGAAACGCGAGUUUCCCCGCGUGUAGUAAAAGCCACGACGCGAAACGUUUGCGUUACGUCGCGCGCGCGCGCGCGUCUACGAUGAGUGCUCUUCUCGCUGACGCGACGUCGCGCGUCGACUUCCUUUGGAGCGUUAAUGCGACAAGCGUCGCGCGUGUAAAACAAUCGACGGACACGAGAGAAAAGAGAACGGAGCCAACAAAAUCGUGUCCUGCGGCGAAGGCGGGCUUUUAUCUACGUACCAUUUAAAUUUACCAUGCAAUUCACGCGCUCGCGAGAACGCGAGGACGCGAGCACGCUUGUUCACGCGGCGUCCGCUUGCUGUGCACUCUCAAUCCGCUCCGCGAAUAUCAUCGUAGAAAGUAUUGAAUGAAAUACGCGAUAGGUAUAGCUCAGGGAGAGAAUAAUUUCAUCUCGCGUAAGCGAUGCUCCGUUUCUUCGCGAUAAGGAUCGAACGUAAGCCCGGGGGACCUUUGUGUUUAACGCAAACAUCCAUUUGACGUCACGUCUGAAAAUGGUUGAGGCAUAGGUAUCGACGACGCGUAAAUAUAACGAUCGAUUGUAACGAACGAAGACUUUUCUUUUACGAGAGAAAAAAAAAUAUUUUCCUCCUAUCUUUGGAAACGCCGAGACCUGCCGAUCGCCGAUGUGCGCCGCGCCGCCGACCUACCAUACCUAACGGGAGCAUCAGUUAAGAGGAAAUGACGGAAUUGACUCGCACGACGAGUCAAAGCGGAACGCAUUUGAAUACGCGACGCGCGGGUGGCUCUCUCACUGGCGUUACACUAGAUCGUGUCCUGCCCCGUUCCAUUAAGCGGAGAGAAAUCCUCUCGGCGACGACGCGGCGGCAGUGGCGGCGCGGUGACCAACUUUCGUCGACCGGGGAUCGAAACCCCGAGAGAUAUCUUCCACUCGCCUCUCGAUCUCUCCUGAAGCGACGAGAUGCGGAGAAUCCGCUUGUGCGGUUUCGUGAUUCCUGGCGCGGAUCGGCCGUGCGCGCAGGCGCAGCGUUGCCGAAUUUUCCGUUCUGACAACAAAAAAAUAGCCGCUCCUCGUGCAUGUAUGCCCCACGUGUUUGCACGCGCGCGUGUGUGUGUGUGUGUGUGUGUGUGUGUGUUAUAACACGUUGUUACAGAGAAGGGGAGCACUCGCGAGCGCCAGGAUAGAAUGAGAAAACGAGGGGGACGUGGAGAGAGCAAGAGUGGGACUGCAUGAAAGCCACUGGAACAGGGUAGGGUAGGGUAGGGUAGGGAAGAGACGGAAGAGACAGGGGAGAUUGCCAACAGCGUAAGACUGAGAUAUAAUUUUCAGCCGAAUCGUUGUUACUAGAUAUUAGAAGAGAGAUCGAAGUUGUAAUUCCUGGUAUUAAUCUCUCGACACGUUUCACGACGCGCGACACGUUCGACUCAACAUUGGGAAAAGGUAUUUAUCCGUGUUCUUUGGCGCAGCUUUGUCGCGAAGGAAACGUUCAUAUCUGAUAGCUCACGAUGUAUCUGGCAUCAAGCUGAAACGAUGAACCGACUGCAUCUCGUGGCGACAGAAUAUUGUAGUGAUAAAGCAAAAUUUCGGUAUCGAUGCAAUCGCGGACGCGUUACUCGAACUCGUUCUUUCACGGUCUGUCAUCGAAAUUCGACGUAAGCGACUUUCGCCGGCAGAUGCGCGAUAAUAUCGCAGCGGAUCGCAAUUUCGCGCGGCAGAACCCGAAGAAACCCGCCGCCGCCGCCGCCGCCGCUUCCGUCGUCGUCGUCGUCGGUUCGCUCGCUUUUUGCGGAUACGUUCACAAAGGGAACCAACCGGACGAUCUCGAGGGCUUCCCCUCGCGAUUACGCCAAUGAGUCGACCCAGCGAGGCAGCACGGACGGACAGUCGGCUGCGCUGUUGCCAAGCGGAAACCACAAACCGGCGGCAUUUUCUUCUUCCACGAAGACACGGACAGACAACGCGUUCCGCUCGCCUACCGUGUUACCUCGUACACGUAGGAGGAGGCACUGCCACGGGCGGAAGGGGUGGGCACGGGGGUGAACCAAGGAUCGAAAUACAAUCGGCCAGAAGAUAUGAAGAAUGAGACGGAGGAUCGCCAACGCGCGCGCAAUAAGACAGCUAGGAGGAGCAACGAGCCAGACACGCAAAUAGAAGUACAUAAUCUAAGGCGAUACGGAAUUUGCGAGACUCGCGAGAGAGACAUUUUCAUUGUUUGUUUCAAAGAUUGUACUUUGUCGCGUUAUCGCGCCCGCCCUCGACAAUGUAUAAUAUCAAUGAUCCAUUUACGACUGAAAUAAUAUAGCCCGUGAUCCUGGCAAAUAGCAGCGGAUGAAAAAAUACGCUUAUUGCACGUUUCGUUAUCAGGACAAACGAUGAGAGAUAAUACAAUGAUAAUUAUUAUCAGUGAUAAUUAUGCAUCGCCGUUUUGUACUCGCUAAUGCUCUUAAUCGUACACAAUAAACGCAACCUCUUAUUAAUCUCGAUGCGUCACAAACAGAUUUACAAAACUCCAAUUACUCCCGUCACCAUCAUUUAAUAUAUAGUAUAAACGAGUCACUUUUCAUUUUCAACGUGGCUCUCAAACUUGAACGUUUUUAAAAUGCUUACAUCUUUCUCAUUAUAUGCAUGUAUGGUAAAAAAAAAUAGUAAAUCAUGAACGUUACUACGUGACAAAAGAGUAAAGUGAUUAUUUUUCUAGCUUCAGUUUACGAUUGUGUUUUAAAUUCGUACACGCAGUCUAUAGAAACGGAAAAAUAUGUUUAAUAAUCGGUAUGAAAAUAUUAUUAAGCCCUAAAAUCCGCUUCGAGCGAGAAACGUGGUACUUUCUUUUAUUUCUGGCAACACAAUUAUGUAUAGCAUGCUAAAAUUAAACAGGCCGGCGGCUAAAUAAUAGAUGUACAAAUUUAACUGGCCAUAGAUACACAGCCGAAUCAGUUGAAUGGACUGCAUUAAAGAAAGACGACUCAUUUAGAUCUCUCGUGACAUAUACACAUGCCAUUUUUAGGGGAAUUCGAAGGGGAAUUCGAAGGCAUGAUACAGCACAAAGAAUGACAAAUUAACUGAUACGUACGAUCGAGUUAGGUUUAACGAUUGUUUCAGCGAACACCCGCUUCCGUGUUGCCCGCGCGGGAACUAACGCACGCGAAACACGUAGAAUUUUAUAGGAAGUGAUUAGAAUUUCAGCUGCGUAAAACCACUACCAGACUUCCUCGUACACCCGUUUUCUACACGGACGAACGAGGUUAUAUAUUACAAAAGACACGCCAUAUAUGCCGGAUUCAUAAUGAAUUUUUUCCCCGAUACCGAACACGUUGCACAAAAAAAAAAAAAAAAAAAAAAAUCCGUCAGAACCACA